CCAUGGCUCAGGAUGAAUAGUCAACUGCUAUUCCAUAAAAGGCUGGGGCAAGUGUUGACUAAACGCUUUGGUAUAACAAAAGUAACUCUUAAAUUUUGUUAUUAUUUAAAGCUUGGAUUGCUCUGUGUGUAGCCUGAAGCUGGAAAAAAACCUCUCAGGUGGUUCCUGUAUGACAUGUAACCAACCCAGAUUCCAUUGGCAAUAACAGACCUGCAUGAGAGCUGUCUGAAGAGAUUGUCCAACAAAGUGAUGGGUCAUUGCCAUACUGGCAAAGAGAAUGACAUCAUCUGUUCUGUAGGGAGGUACAUGUUGAGAGGCCUUUGAAUGCAAUGAGAGACAGAAAAGAAACAGCUAAAAUGAUUUGUCACGAAGCCAUCCGAGACUCUUGGUCUCCAGAUGAGUCGUUCUGAUGCAGAGCACCAAAUCAAGCCUGCCUAUCAACCUUCCUCUCCCACUCAUUUACACAUGUCUCAAACCAGGUCACCCGGCCAAGAGGUUGAGCAUAGGUCCCUAGGUCCCAUGCAUGUCAGAGGGCCCUGGCUUAUCUUCCCAGGCUGAAGGGGAGAUACAACCCUUGCCCUCAAGAAGCCUGGUUCAGGAACUUCCAGCCCGAUAAAGAGACAGGCUUAGUAACAGAGAGGGUUGUAACUCAAUACCACUCCAAGGGAGUACUCUGGACCCUGCAUGGCUCUACAUGAA